rnacentral:rRNA from 1 species
GACGAACGCUGGCGGCGUGCCUAAUACAUGCAAGUAGAACGCACAGUUUAUACCGUAGCUUGCUACACCAUAAACUGUGAGUUGCGAACGGGUGAGUAACGCGUAGGUAACCUGCCUGGUAGCGGGGGAUAACUAUUGGAAACGAUAGCUAAUACCGCAUAAUAUUGAUUAUUGCAUGAUAAUUGAUUGAAAGAUGCUAUUGCAUCACUACCAGAUGGACCUGCGUUGUAUUAGCUAGUAGGUGAGGUAACGGCUCACCUAGGCGACGAUACAUAGCCGACCUGAGAGGGUGAUCGGCCACACUGGGACUGAGACACGGCCCAGACUCCUACGGGAGGCAGCAGUAGGGAAUCUUCGGCAAUGGACGAAAGUCUGACCGAGCAACGCCGCGUGAGUGAAGAAGGUUUUCGGAUCGUAAAGCUCUGUUGUAAGAGAAGAACGGGUGUGAGAGUGGAAAGUUCACACUGUGACGGUAUCUUACCAGAAGGGGACGGCUAACUACGUGCCAGCAGCCGCGGUAAUACGUAGGUCCCGAGCGUUGUCCGGAUUUAUUGGGCGUAAAGCGAGCGCAGGCGGUUAGAUAAGUCUGAAGUUAAAGGCUGUGGCUUAACCAUAGUACGCUUUGGAAACUGUUUAACUUGAGUGCAGAAGGGGAGAGUGGAAUUCCAUGUGUAGCGGUGAAAUGCGUAGAUAUAUGGAGGAACACCGGUGGCGAAAGCGGCUCUCUGGUCUGUAACUGACGCUGAGGCUCGAAAGCGUGGGGAGCGAACAGG